rnacentral:tRNA from 1 species
GGGCGAGUGGUGGAAUGGCAGACACAAUGGACUUAAAAUCCAUCGCCCAUAACCGGGUGUGAGGGUUCGAAUCCCUCCUCGCCCA